UGGAGAGUUUGAUCCUGGCUCAGGACGAACGCUGGCGGCGUGCCUAAUACAUGCAAGUCGAGCGGACCGGAUCAGGGCUUGCUCUGGUUUGGUCAGCGGCGGACGGGUGAGUAACACGUGGGCAACCUGCCCGCAAGACCGGGAUAACUCCGGGAAACCGGAGCUAAUACCGGAUAACACCGAAGACCGCAUGGUCUUCGGUUGAAAGGCGGCCUUUGGCUGUCACUUGCGGAUGGGCCCGCGGCGCAUUAGCUAGUUGGUGAGGUAACGGCUCACCAAGGCGACGAUGCGUAGCCGGCCUGAGAGGGUGACCGGCCACACUGGGACUGAGACACGGCCCAGACUCCUACGGGAGGCAGCAGUAGGGAAUCUUCCGCAAUGGACGAAAGUCUGACGGAGCGACGCCGCGUGAGCGAAGAAGGCCUUCGGGUCGUAAAGCUCUGUUGUGAGGGACGAAGGAGCGCCGUUUGAACAAGGCGGCGCGGUGACGGUACCUCACGAGAAAGCCCCGGCUAACUACGUGCCAGCAGCCGCGGUA
rnacentral:rRNA from 1 species